rnacentral:rRNA from 1 species
AUUGAACGCUGGCGGCAGGCCUAACACAUGCCAGUGGAGCGAGCGGCGGACGGGUGAGUAAUGUAUGGGGACUGCCCGAUAGAGAGGGAUAACUACUGGAAACGGUGGCUAAUACCGCAUCCUAUCGGAUAACCCAUAUGGGAUUAGCUAGUAGGUGGGGUAAAGGCUCACCUAGGCGACGAUCUCUAGCUGGUCUGAGAGGAUGCUAAGCCACACUGAGACUGAGACGCGCCCCAGACUCCGACAGAGUCAGCAGGGGGGAAGAUUGCACAAAAGGCGCAAGCCUGAUGCAGCCAGGACGCAUGUAUGAAGAAGGCCUUAGGGUUGUAAAGUACUUUCAGCGGGGAGGCGUUACCCGCAGAAGAAGCACCGGCUAACUCCGGGCCAGCAGCCGCAGUAAUAC